rnacentral:rRNA from 1 species
UACGUAGGGUGCGAGCGUUGUCCGGAAUUAUUGGGCGUAAAGAGCUCGUAGGCGGCCUGUCGCGUCGGAUGUGAAAGCCCGGGGCUUAACCCCGGGUCUGCAUUCGAUACGGGCAGGCUAGAGUGUGGUAGGGGAGAUCGGAAUUCCUGGUGUAGCGGUGAAAUGCGCAGAUAUCAGGAGGAACACCGGUGGCGAAGGCGGAUCUCUGGGCCAUACUGACGCUGAGGAGCGAAAGCGUGGGGAGCGAACAGG